GUCAAUCUACUUAAGCUGCCUCCCAUCGAUAAUAAAUGGAGACCCUAUGUGUUUUAUUUUGGUGGUAGAAGCUCCGCCUUGAGCACUUCUAAUUUUUUUCUCAACCAGUUCGAUUCCAAUCCAAUUAAAUAAUCAACAGCAUUACAACUAAGACGCAUCAGUACUGUCUGCUCCAUUUCACUGUACAUUUGACGGCUAACAACAAUACUUCACAACGGAGGCAGUCCAAAAGGAUACCAUGCAGUCGCUUCUAGUAAGAAUUGCGGUGUUCUUUACGUUCAACUAUCUGAAUACAAUCAAUAUCUACGGCGCACCCUUGCAUUACAACUUUGGGGGAAGUCAGUACUACCGAGCUGACCCACUAUUACCAUUUCCAAGCACCUACGGAUACGCACAACUAGCACUUCGCAACACUGGAUUUGCUGCUGCAGUUCCAUACCAGUACAUCAUAGACUACCCUUCCAGCUUUUCUAGUUACUCUGAAUUAUCGCCAUUUUCGGAUAAACUUUUUGCAGAUAGCUUUGACAGAAACGAAUCGCGAAACAAGCGAAUGCUACGCUUCAUUUCUCCUGACGAGUUCAAUGGGCUUCGGGACAAGCAAGUGGGGAUGAAGACAGAAAGGAGAGGAAAAACGAUGCCGUCAUAUCGUGCGUUCAAGCAGAGAAACUUGCGAAAAGUGUGAACAAAAGAACGAAGCUAAUCAGAAGUUGGUUUACAAUUCUCAGACUACCUACACAAAUCAUUCAUAAGACCACAAAAAAGAACAUCGCUCGUGCGCCGAGAUGACUACAAGGAACACCAUCAAGUGAAAAUUAUAGAAGCAACAAAAUAAUCUAAAUAGCUUCCUAAAAAAUUUGAUCAGUCUUUAUUCUCAUUUUUAAUGCGACAUGCUUAAGGAAUUUA